rnacentral:tRNA from 1 species
GGGCUUGUAGCUCAGCGGUUAGAGCAGCCGGCUCAUAACCGGUAGGUCGCAGGUUCGAAUCCUGCCGGGCCCA